CCUCUAAGACAAAAAAAUGUUUCGUCCUUUAUUUUUUGUUUCAACACCGAGUCAUAGUUUUUAGGUUGCAUAUCUAUCUUUCAUGUGUAGAAUACUUUAAACUUCAGUGUAAAUGCAUAAAUACUGGAGAAUGAGUAUAGGGAACCAUGCAAUGAUGAACUAGAAAUCUGUUGAAUGAAUUCCUCUGAUUCCUUAGUUGAAAUCUCGCACAUAUUUGUUCUUUACUACCAGUUGAAUUGAUCAGAAUGUUACCUGAAAUUCACAUACAUAUAUAACUUGUAGACUGUCAAUGGAAAUCUGUCAACAAAAUCUGAUAAUUAGUGGACUUCUUCUUCUUUUUUCCCCCUAAAUCCUGUAGCUGACCUGCAGGAGUUGGCAAAGCUUUCCCAGAAAUUCGAAGAGAAUAUUAUUGAUGCGACUAAAAUGUUUGAGAAAAUUAUUAUAGAUAAAAAAGAAGUUGAAGGCAUACCUUUGAUUGCACUUACUGUAGCUGCAGAGAAAGCGGUGCUCAAGGGAUAUGCAAAGGCCACAGCUGAUGAUGGAUGUCCCAUGGGCUAUUACAUUGGGCGGCCCAAGCUAUAGAGCUGUUUUGCAACAUUCUUGCAAUAGAUCUUUGAGAGAGGAAGUUUAUCGUGCUCAUGUGACCCGUGCCUCUGAUGGAACUUUAAACAAUAACCAUUUAUAGAACGCAUAUUGGAGCUCAGGUUAAAGAAAGCAAAGCUUCUAGACUACAGUAACUUUUCAGGGGUGAGCAUGGAAACCAAAAUGGCCACCAUUGAUAAAGCAAAGGAUCUUCUAUAUAAGCUUCAUAGUGCUUCUUGGAAUCCUGCUACUAAGGGUAAGUGUUUACCUUAAAAAAUGCACAUUUAUUAUUUUGAAUCAAGCUAAUAUCAAUAUCACUUAGUGAUCUCAAGAGAAAUGCCAAAGAUGUUGCCAUCCAUUUCUUCAAAUAAUUGAAUCUACCAUGUUGAGAUUUUAAAAUUGAAAAUAUUGAAUGUUCCUUCGAUCUAGUUGAUAAAUAUAUUCAUAAUUAGAAUUGAGACUUACUUCUGAAUGGCCCAGAGCAAUCUUACUGGCUGUUAUGAUUGUAAUACCCAACUCUUGACCC